CUACGUGCCAGCAGCCGCGGUAAUACGUAGGGUGCGAGCGUUAAUCGGAAUUACUGGGCGUAAAGCGAGCGCAGACGGUUACUUAAGCAGGAUGUGAAAUCCCCGGGCUCAACCUGGGAACUGCGUUCUGAACUGGGUGACUAGAGUGUGUCAGAGGGAGGUAGAAUUCCACGUGUAGCAGUGAAAUGCGUAGAGAUGUGGAGGAAUACCGAUGGCGAAGGCAGCCUCCUGGGAUAACACUGACGUUCAUGCCCGAAAGCGUGGGUAGCAAACAGGAUUAGAUACCCUGGUAGUCCACGCCCUAAACGAUGUCAAUUAGCUGUUGGGCAACUUGAUUGCUUAGUAGCGUAGCUAACGCGUGAAAUUGACCGCCUGGGGAGUACGGUCGCAAGAUUAAAACUCAAAGGAAUUGACGGGGACCCGCACAAGCGGUGGAUGAUGUGGAUUAAUUCGAUGCAACGCGAAGAACCUUACCUGGUCUUGACAU
rnacentral:rRNA from 1 species